GACGAACGCUGGCGGCGUGCCUAAUACAUGCAAGUUGAGCGCUGAAGGUUGGUACUUGUACCAACUGGAUGAGCAGCGAACGGGUGAGUAACGCGUGGGGAAUCUGCCUUUGAGCGGGGGACAACAUUUGGAAACGAAUGCUAAUACCGCAUAAAAACUUUAAACACAAGUUUUAAGUUUGAAAGAUGCAAUUGCAUCACUCAAAGAUGAUCCCGCGUUGUAUUAGCUAGUUGGUGAGGUAAAGGCUCACCAAGGCGAUGAUACAUAGCCGACCUGAGAGGGGGAUCGGCCACAAUGGGACUGGGACACGGCCCAAACUCCUACGGGAGGCAGCAGUAGGGAAUCUUCGGCAAAGGACGAAAGGCUGAACGAGCAACGCCGCGGGAGGGAAGAAGGGUUUCGGAUCGUAAAACUCUGUUGGUAGAGAAGAACGUUGGGGAGAGUGGAAAGCUCAUCAAGUGACGGUAACUACCCAGAAAGGGACGGCUAACUACGUG
rnacentral:rRNA from 1 species